GACCAAUUUUCCCCCACACACUUCCCCCGCACUCGUUCCCCUCCGGCCCUCCGCCGUGGCCAUGGCCACGGCCGCGGCAACUCUCCCGCUCUUCCAUCCUCCUCCCGCAGUCGUCAAACCUGCAACCCUACACUUGCACGCCGUCCCUCCUCGCACCCAACCUUCACCCCAAAACGCACCCUCACCCUCUCCCCCUCCUCUUCCUCCUCCCGCGCCGCCGCCGCGGCGGGUCCGUCGCCGCCUUCUCCGCGACAACAUCCUCGUCCACAUCCGUAUCCUCCACGCCUUCCUACGACGCCCGCGAGGCGGAGGCCGCCGUCGCGGAGCUCCUCCGCGAGAGCGGCGCCUCCCCGGCCGACGCCGCCGCCAUCGCCGCGCGCGCGCCGGCCUGCGCCGCCAUGCCCGCCGAAGGCGUCCGCGAGCUGGACGAGCUCGGUCUCUGGGCGUCGUGGAGCUCCGGUGCCGGGGCCCUGGUGGGCCGCGGCGGGGACGUCGAUAUGGAGAUGGGGAGGCUCGGGUUCCGGAGGAAGGUGUACCUCAUGGGACGGAGCAGUCGCGACCAUGGCGUGGUGCCGCUCCUUGAGAGCGUCGGGGUGCGGCUCUCCUCCGCAAAGCUCAUCACGCCGUAUGUUGCGACCGCUGGCCUCCCUGUGCUGAUUGAUCGGGUUAAGUUUUUGAAGGAAAUGUUAUUUUCAAGCAGUGAUUAUGCAACAAUAAUUGGAAGGAAUGCUAAGCGCAUGAUGACACACUUAUCAAUACCUGCAGAUGAUGCACUUCAAAGUACUUUAUCAUUUUUUGAAAAAAUGGAGGCUAGGUAUGGUGGUGUUAGCAUGUUGGGACAUGGAGAUUUGUCAUUUCCUUAUCUCAUCGAAUCAUUUCCAAUGCUGCUUCUCUGCUCUGAGGAUAAUCAUCUAAAGCCAUUGAUUGAUUUUCUUGAAUACAUUGGAAUUCCAAAACCAAAUACUGCAUCAGUUCUGCUGUUAUUUCCUCCUAUCAUUCUUUCUGACAUUGAAAAUGAUAUCAAGCCGAGGAUUCAUGAAUGGGAGAAGGCUGGCAUUGAACAAGAAUAUAUUGGGAGGAUGUUGCUGAAGUAUCCAUGGAUCCUUUCAACAGGUGUGAUAGAGAACUACAGCCGGAUUCUUUCAUUCUUCAACCGAAAAAAGAUUUCAGGUACAGUCCUUCUGCGAAAAGUUGGCCUCAUAUUCUUGGCUGCUCUACAAAAAGAAUGAAUUCAAUUCUGGAGUUGUUUGAUGAUCUGGGCAUCAGUAAGAAAAUGGUGGUUCCAGUUAUUACAUCUAGUCCACAGUUGUUGCUGAAAAAACCUAACGAAUUUCUGCAGAUUGUUUUCUUUUUCAGCGAAAUGGGUUUUGAUAAGGAAACAGUGGGAAAGAUUUUGUGUUGUUCUCCUGAAAUAUUUGCUUCAAACGUGGAAAGUACCCUCAAGAAGAAAAUUGACUUUCUUGUUGACUUUGGUGUUUCCAAACAUCAUCUUCCUCGCAUCAUAAGUAUCCAGAGAUUUUAUUGUUGGACACAAAUCAUACUCUGCUUCCCAGAAUUAACUACCUGUUGGAGGUGGGUUUGUCUAAGAAAGACGUGCGCUCAAUGAUCUUUAGAUUUUCCCCACUUCUGGGUUACAGUAUCGAGCUUGUUAUGAAACCAAAGCUUGAAUUUCUGUUAAGGAGCAUGAAGAAACCACUUAAAGCAGUUGUAGAAUAUCCUAGGUACUUCAGUUAUUCACUAGAAGGGAAGAUAAAGCCGCGGUUUCGGGUACUACAGAGUAAAAACAUAGAGUGCAGCUUGACAGACAUGCUUGCAAAGAACGAUGAACUUUUUGCUGACGAGUACUUGGGAACAGGAGGAAUACUUCAGAAACCUCUACCAUGAAGCUAAAGGCAGUUGAUUUUGGACUAAAAUGAAGGGCCAGCCAUGCAAUGCACCAUGCCUGAGCUUUAUGCUUCCACAGAGGAGGCUCUUUUUCAGAUGGGAGUCCACUUCUCCAGUGCUUGGUAUUAAGGAGGUAACACACUACACAUGAAGUUACCUUAACGAAGGUAACAGUUCCGUGUUGACUCAGCAGUUACAAUCAAGGUGAUGAACACCUUGGUUUUUCGCAAUUCGAAGUUUCUUGCUGGCAUGUUAAUUUGUGUUGUCAUAUUGUUCUUUCGGGUUCAGGGCUUCAGGCAAACAAGGGAAAUUUGCAAAAUAAUGUGGUUUGCAGCUAGGAGCAAAUGGAAAAGGGUACUCAACAAUUUACACAUCUGUUGUGUGAAUGGCUACAGGAAUUAGUGCAGGCCAUAAUCCUCGAGGAAUUAUUGGUCAUGCAACCCGUAGUCCCCAUCAUCUCUCUCAUGGAACGAAAGCCUAGCAAUGGCCUCCCAUCCUGCGUUUAAGACGAUCUGGGCUGAGGGCUGACCCAAAGGUGGUUGCCACUACAUUGACCAGCUACAUCAGGGCGUUACUGUUUCACUUCCUGACCAUGGCUGAAAUGCCAAAUGCAGUGCUGCGCUGCUUCCUUGAAACAACCUGCCUGCAUUUUCUGUUUGACAGUUAAAAUGUAUAUGUACAUACAGUCAAUGACGUAGCCUGUGAUUACUAUAGUAGAUGGUCAAAUCGUGAUUACGCCGCCGUCGGAUCAACUGAAUCAGGGCUUGCCUGUAAGAAGCAUAUGAUUAUCUUGUAAAGUUGUAAGGCCUGGUAUUAUGUUGUGAUUUGUGAUGGUAUUUCCAGUCCUCA